AUUAGCUAGUUGCGGGGUAAUGGCCCACCAAGGCGACGAUCCGUAGCUGGUCUGAGAGGAUGAUCAGCCACACUGGAACUGAGACACGGUCCAGACUCCUACGGGAGGCAGCAGUAGGGAAUAUUGGACAAUGGGCGCAAGCCUGAUCCAGCCAUGCCGCGUGAGUGAAGAAGGCCCUCGGGUUGUAAAGCUCUUUUGUCCGGAAAGAAAAGCGCCGGGUUAAUACCCUGGUGUCCUGACGGUACCGGAAGAAUAAGCACCGGCUAACUUCGUG
rnacentral:rRNA from 1 species